CUCUAGAAGAGAAAACAAAUAGAAUUUGUUGGUUUACUGAUAUCAUACCAGAAUGCUGGAAAGCAUGAGAGAAGGAUUUCCUGGAUACCAUCUCUGUUCAAACAAGGAUAAAGUGCAGCCAAAGAAGGAAAGACAAACAAAAGAUUUAAAGCGUUGCUAGAGAAGGAAAGAACUAGAUGAGAAACCACAAUCUGGAUGUAAUUAAGAGGAAUUCAGCACUGCUCUUCUCUGUGAUGCCACUCAUUACCUGUGCAAGACCUUUUCAACAUAGAAGCAGAAGACAAACACUUGCAAAGGGAAAACAACUCCCUGUAACUACAUACUGCAUCUCUCACCACGCUUUUUAAUCUCUAACACACUAGGAGCAUGUGCCAGAUAGCAUGUGUACCUUUCAGAGAUAACCUGGAGUUACACAGCCACCAGCUCAAGCAACAUGAACUUCAGCCUCACACGGCCUGUUCCAAUUUGCCCACGCUAAGCCUUCAUGUUCCCACAGCAAAUGCCAGUGCCUUGAGUUUGCUGGAUACAGAUACUCCAAGGGACUGCUUAGGUAUGCAGCUACAUCCAUGUUGGCUUUGUGUAGCUGAUGCAUCUGUUGUUGUUGUUGUUGUUGUUUUUAUUUGUUUGCUUUUGUGAAAUAAUGGAAAUUCCAAUCGUAAUUUUGGUGGGAGUUUAAGGCUGUGGGACUACCUGCCAAUGCUCAGUACCGUGCUGUUUCUAACCCUCGCAGGCAUAAAAUGUUGAGAAUGUGACUGACUAAACAGAGAUGAACACAUCAAAAACUGUUCUAGAGGUAUGCAGGAAAAAAAUAUAAAUGCUCCAUAUAUCUUUACUACAUCUGUGCUCGUUCUGCAUUUAUUUUCCCUUAAUCUUUUAGGAGAGAGACUCCCUAGGAACAUACCGAAACUUGAAAUUAUUAUUUGUAACGUAUUUGCAAAAAAACUAGAAAGUGUGGGGGACAGUAAAAGCAAGCCUCCUUUUACACAGUGAGCUAGACUCAAAGGAGGUACACACAUCCACCUAGGAAACAAAAAGAAGACCCUUGGCCCUUCUAUCCAGCAGGUUUAAGAGCCAUAUACUCAUCAAAGAUGUCC
ensembl:lncRNA